ensembl:snoRNA
GAGCAAGGAUGAAUCAGUAUUUGCCUGACUGUGCAAAACAUGAAGGCUCCUACACUUGAACUGAGCUCA